UGUUCCACACGCCUUCAAUGAGAACUCUCGUCCGACACUUCGUUUUAGGAGCGAUUCAUUUCGACCUCACCAGAGUUCAGGCUAUCCUUUAAGCCUUUGGUGUUCCUUCCAGACAUUCCAGUCACCCUACCCUCCACUGAUACUCUGUUUUCGAGACAGAAGCAACUAUAACCGACCGCGAUAAGGGAUUGAAGAGGAGAGAUGCGGUGGUAGGAAUUAAUUCCUUUGGUUGUAGAAAAAAUGGUCAGCACAGCAUGGAACAUUAACAACGACGUCAAAGCAUUUA